GUGAUCUAAGAGAGUGCUACCCAUGCAGCAGGGCAGAUAUUUGGAGGAUCCUGUUCUGCAAACUGCUUGCUCUGACUGAUGUCCUGCAGUGGAGAUGUUGGUUGCAUCCAGUUUAUGACCAAAUGGAUAUAAUGCGAGGCCCCUAUCUGCGUAACGAAGGCUGUACACUCAACAGAGCCAAGCAUCAAAGGACAUCUGACACAUUCAACAGUCAUCAACCAUGAGUCAGAAUAACCACUUCAAUGCCUAGAGCAUAAACUGCCCCUUUACAUCUCCUCAGCC
rnacentral:lncRNA from 1 species